rnacentral:lncRNA from 1 species
CUUCCCUGCUCACAGCCUCGGUCUCCCCCCUUUUAGGGCAGGAGGCUCCAACCUUGAGAUUCCAGGGCAUCACCCUCCCUGCUCUGGGCUUCUCAGAAGCACCCCCCCCCAACCACCACCCGCAACACACACACAUCUCUGGCUGAAUCUCCCUGGGAGCAGCAGAUGACAGCAGGGCUUGUGGUGCUGCAACAGUGGCCUGGUGUGACGUGGUGAUGGUUUCCGGAGCAAGGGGCAGGAUCUCUGAAGAGCAGAGUGGACUUCCUAGGAGCUGGGGAAACCUCACAGCUCCUCCCUCCCUCACACGGCAGCUUCCAAGUUAAAAUGACAGACUGUAGAAGCUUUGCGCCCUGUAAUGCCUGAACCUGGACCCGGAGCUGUUGAAAUGAGGCUGCUCCAGAAAAGCUGUGCUCUGAGACCCCUGGGGCUGGGACACUCGGCAACUUCUUUCCAGUGGAGCCUCCAGGCCUGACCGGCCUUCCCACAGCUGGGGGAUCCUGCAGUUCCCUCCAGCUGCCGGAUAAACCUCCCAAACACAACUGUGUGAGAGAACCCUGGUUUUGGGUCUUGCUAUGUUCCUGGCCUCUGUGGUUAAGGAAUCCAGCCGGGGACUGGCGGGCGUCUCAGCUCCCCUCCCCAGUUUCUGGGGCCUCAGGUAGGAAGGCUGGACAGGCGGGAGGUGACCGGAUGCUGGGGCUGCACUCAUCCUGGGGAGGCAGUUCACCCCCACCUCGGGUCCCAGGUGGACUUGGCUCAUACUGCUGAUGGAGCGAGGGGGCACAAGUGGCCUCCCUGUGUGCCUUGGGCUUCUCAGGACGUGAGAGCCUGGCUCUGAGUGUCCUGGGAGUGGUCACACUCCCCGGCCUCACCAUGCUUUAUGAUGGAGGCAGUCACGGUUGCCUUGUCCUCUGCAGAGUCCCGAGGUGGUGCAGGGCAUCACAUGGUGAGGGGCUGAGUGUGCUGGCUCAGGUCUCUCUUCUGCCUUGUAUAAAGCCACUAAUGCCACUCUCAUCAUAACCCAUUAAUUCAUUAGUCCAUUCAUCUAUUAAGCUUCUAAUCUGUGUAUGGAUUAACCCAUUCACGAGGGCAGAACCCUCA